rnacentral:tRNA from 1 species
GGAGAGGUCGCAUAGUGGCCUAGUGCGCACGCUUGGAAAGCGUGUGUCCCUGAAAGGGGACCGAGGGUUCGAAUCCCUCCCUCUCCGCCA